rnacentral:lncRNA from 1 species
UUCAUUUUGUGUAUUGGAAGUCCUGUGUUCUUGACAAUGUUCAUGGGUGGCUUUCAGGAGUCAGUGAGAGGAAUGGUACAUAUUCGAGUUCCAGAUGUGGACCCAUAUACAUUUAAGGCCCUUUUAGCAUAUCUGUACCUUGAUAAGAUAUCCUUGAAUGAAACCAUUGUAUUUGAACUUUUGUAUUGCUCGAAAAAGUACAUGUUGCCUUUCCUGACAAAGGAGUGCAUUCAAUAUAUUUGCAGUAUUGUAAAGGCAAACAACGCUAUACUCUUAAUGAGCAAGACCAAAGUUUAUGAUUGUCCUGAGUUCUGGGAUAAAUGUUGGGAUGUUAUUUCAAGUUUUCCAGAUUUGUGCUAUCAAGCUUAUACAUUUAUCUACAUCAAUUUUUUUACGCUUCAUAAUGUUUUAAGUAGAGAAAUAUUAAAACGCUCAGAAGCUGUUGUUUUUGAUGCUGCUCUUAGAUGGGCCACUCAUCAAUUGAGUGUCAAAGGUGAAAAAAAUGAAGAAGAAGAUCCUAGAAUCUUGGGAUGGAGAAAAAGAGAAAUGCUUGGAACAGCCUUAAAUCACAUAUGUUUUCAAAAGAUGAGUUUCAGGGAAAUAGCGGAGUUGGUUGUACCAUCUUGUGUCUUGAGUUCCAUUGAGCUUGUAAACUUAUUUGUAAGUAAAGCAUUGAUGGAUCAUUAAGUUUAAACUCGUCAUGGAGAUCUCAUAAACUUUUCAAACAGUAGCGUUUUCAGAAAUGUAGAAGUUAGUGUUAAAAAAAGCGAUUUGGUUUGUGAGAGAUCAUCUAGUAUUAUAAUCUAUAAAAGGACAGAUAUAGAAUAUUCUUUUUACUUUCCAUCUCCAUUCAGACUUGAUCCUAAAGUACAAUGUACAGCCUCUAUUCAUUCACCUAGUGGUUUUAAGUUUUUUAUGCCUGAUACAAUGCACUCACUACGUCCCUAUUUACGAUAACUUCCUUGCCUCCAAAUUAUGGUUUUAUAACACAUAUGAAAUAUGAUAUUUUUGAAAUAUUUUUUCUAUUUUUGUUUUAAAAAAUGAUAUAUAGUUUUUGUUGAAUUCA